rnacentral:lncRNA from 1 species
AUGGGGAAGGUUGGUUCAGCAAAAAAAAGCAAAGCAGAUGAGAGAACUAUCCAAGACCUAAACCUGCAAAGUAAGAAGGAGCCCAGCAUGUCUGUAACCCUCUCCUCACAGAAACAGAGCUGCAAACAUAUUUUUGAACCACAGGGAAAGCCCCUGGACUGUUCCUGGCUGACUCAGAGCCUUUUUCCCAAGUACGGAGCCAAAGCAGCGCAAAGGAUUCCCGAAAGUCUCAUUUCCACACCAGAAAUGAUUCUUCUGAAGAGCUCGAGGAUACAGGAGAGAAUAUAUCAGAGGAUAACGAGGUGUCUGUCAGGCUGGAGUCACUGCACUGGGCUCCGUGGAGACUUCAAGUGUGAUGGAUAUGAGUGUCUCAAAGAGUUGUCGUGAAUCACUCAGUCCAUGUUAUACGAGGAACUACUCUAAACUGCAGACAGGUCAGACGUCUUGAGAAAAGGAAAGGCACAAUCAUUUGCUCGUGGUCCUUGUGGUACCUGCAUCCCCAAGUCAGAGGCUGUGCAGUUAUGCCUCCUGGGUGUUCUGUUUCCUGUUGUGCUUAAUUUGGAGCUUGCUUCUCUAAAUAUACACUUUCCUGAUUUGCUCCUUAGUCUAGCUGCCAAGGGUCACCAGAUUUUUAUUCCUUCCUCCUAAUUAUCAUUACAUCUGUGGAGGAGAUUAUUUGAGUAAGCUGACUGGGAUAAACAAACCAGCUGUUUAUCAUCACAUCUGAGCCCCCAAACUCCUCAGCCCGAAGCUGCCAUAACCUAUGACUUACAAACUUGCCAUCCAGUCAUUCCAGUUACUAAUGCAUCGAUUACGACCCAUGUAAAUUUAUGGCUGGGAUUAAAGUUGUGUGUGUGAUGAUAAAAAGCCUUCCAGAAAGACAAGGGUCCUGGGACAUUAUGAAUUAUCUGGCAGUCAUUACUACACAGUCCUUUGUGGAUCGUAAUCAACUAGUGAAGUAACGUAGAGGACCUUUCUCCCACUGAAGGCAUGGGGAGUGUUGCCAUUUGCUUCAGAAGGAGUAGAGUCAGGCCCAAGUCCUUAAUUUGUGCAUUUCUCAGUCUCUAGUUGCUAGCUGGCACUCUGGUUUGUAAGUCAAGGAUUCUUUCCUGAGAGAAACCUGAAGCACAAGAAAAGACAUCCAGGAGCCGUUGACAUCAUGUGGGUAAAGCUCAGCACAUUUGGAAGCGAUUGCUAGAUUUUGUUCUAUCCUCUCUCAAGAGCUACACUGUGUUUGAUGCAUGAGACUCUAAUUGAAUUUAAGCAAAUAAACUGCAGGUUACAACGCGAACUCA